rnacentral:rRNA from 1 species
CUUAGCGGCGGACGGGUGAGUAACGCGUGGGUAACCUGCCUCAUACAGGGGGAUAACAGUUAGAAAUGACUGCUAAUACCGCAUAAGCGCACAGGACCGCAUGGUCCGGUGUGAAAAACUCCGGUGGUAUGAGAUGGACCCGCGUCUGAUUAGCUGGUUGGCGGGGUAACGGCCCACCAAGGCGACGAUCAGUAGCCGACCUGAGAGGGUGGCCGGCCACAUUGGGACUGAGACACGGCCCAAACUCCUACGGGAGGCAGCAG